GCGGAUUUUAAGCAGAAUAAUCGAUUAUUCAAGUUGCAUAAUCGGUUAUCUGUUAACGUUCAAAAAUCGGAUGCAGAUUCUGUGCAAGCAUAAUCGAUUAUUGCCUUGUGUAUAAUCGAUUAUUUUUCAGCGUUUUAAAAAUACUUUGGCAACGGUCAGUGAAUAAUCGAUUAUGCUAUCUCGUAUAAUCGAUUAUUUUGUUGUUUUGAAAAACCGGUUUUACACUGUCUUAACAUAAUCGAUUACAGGUGAGACAUAAUCG
rnacentral:lncRNA from 1 species